rnacentral:rRNA from 1 species
GAUGAACGCUGGCGGCAUGCUUUACACAUGCAAGUCGAACGGCAGCGCGGGCUUCGGCCUGGCGGCGAGUGGCGAACGGGUGAGUAAUACAUCGGAACGUGCCCAGUAGUGGGGGAUAGCUCGGCGAAAGCCGGAUUAAUACCGCAUACGACCUGAGGGUGAAAGCGGGGGAUCUUCGGACCUCGCGCUAUUGGAGCGGCCGAUGGCAGAUUAGCUAGUUGGUGGGGUAAAGGCCUACCAAGGCGACGAUCUGUAGCUGGUCUGAGAGGACGACCAGCCACACUGGGACUGAGACACGGCCCAGACUCCUACGGGAGGCAGCAGUGGGGAAUUUUGGACAAUGGGCGAAAGCCUGAUCCAGCAAUGCCGCGUGUGUGAUGAAGGCCUUCGGGUUGUAAAGCACUUUUGGCGGGAACGAAAAGGACUGUGCCAAUACCACGGUUCGAUGACGGUACCCGCAGAAUAAGCACCGGCUAACUACGUG